UACGUAGGGGGCAAGCGUUGUCCGGAAUCAUUGGGCGUAAAGAGCGUGUAGGCGGUUCGGUAAGUCGGCUGUGAAAGUCCAGGGCUCAACCCUGGGAUGCCGGUCGAUACUGCCGGACUAGAGUUCGGAAGAGGCGAGUGGAAUUCCCGGUGUAGCGGUGAAAUGCGCAGAUAUCGGGAGGAACACCUAUGGCGAAGGCAGCUCGCUGGGACGUUACUGACGCUGAGACGCGAAAGCGUGGGGAGCGAAACAGG
rnacentral:rRNA from 1 species